rnacentral:hammerhead_ribozyme from 1 species
AUCCAGCUGACGAGUCCCAAAUAGAAUGAAUUGCGCGUCAUGGAU